rnacentral:rRNA from 1 species
GAUGAACGCUGGCGGCGUGCCUAAUACAUGCAAGUCGAGCGAACAGACGAGGAGCUUGCUCCUUUGACGUUAGCGGCGGAGGGGUGAGUAACACGUAGGUAACCUACCUAUAAGACUGGGUUACCUUCGGGAAACCGGAGCUAAUACCGGAUAAUAUUUCGACCCGCAUGGUUCGAUAGUGAAAUUUGCCUUUGCUAUCCCUUAUAGACGACCCGGCGCCGUAUUAGCUAGUUGGUAAGGAAACGGCUUACCAAGGCAACGAUACGUAGCCGACCUGAGAGGGUGAUCGGCCACACUGGAACUGAGACACGGUCCAGACUCCUACGGGAGGCAGCAGUAGGGAAUCUUCCGCAAUGGGCGAAAGCCUGACGGAGCAACGCCGCGUGAGUGAUGAAGGUCUUCGGAUCGUAAAACUCUGUUAUUAGGGAAGAACAAACGUGUAAGUAACUGUGCACGUCUUGACGGUACCUAAUCAGAAAGCCACGGCUAACUACGUG